rnacentral:rRNA from 1 species
AGUGAACGCUGGCGGUAGGCCUAACACAUGCAAGUCGAACGGCAGCACAUGUAUAGCUUGCUCUUACGGGUGGCGAGUGGUGGACGGGUGAGGAAUACAUCGGAAUCUAUUUGUGCGUGGGUGAUUACGUAGGGAAACUUACGCUAAUACCGCAUAUGUCCUGCGGGUGAAAGCAGGGGAUCUUCGGUCCGUUUGUUCGUGAAUGAGUGGAUGUCGGAUUAGCUAGUUGGCGGGGUAAAGGCCCACCAAGGCGACGAUCCGUAGCUGGUCUGAGAGGAUGAUCAGCCACACUGGAACUGAGACACGGUCCAGACUCCUACGGGAGCACGCAGUGGGCACACUUGGACAAUGGGCGCAAGCCUGAUCCAGCCAUACCGCGUGGGAGAAGAAGGAAUUCGGGUUGUAAAGCCCUUUUGUUGGGAAAGACAAAAAACAGGUUAAUACCCCGCUGUUCUGACGGUACCCAAAGAAUAAGCACCGGCUAACUUCGUG